rnacentral:lncRNA from 1 species
GAGGAAUGUUGUGCUGAUAUAUAAACAUCUCUAUUUCAUCUGUGAUUAUUUACUUCUGAAAAUAACCUAAAGCCAUUCUUCUGAUAUUUGCAAGCAUUUGAGAAAAUUGUAAAGAAGAGAUCACAAAAGAGUCAUUGUGCAGUACCAAGAAGUACAAGGUCAAGGAACCCAACCAAUCCCAAUGUGAUUGAUGAGAAUCUGUGCCAAGACAGAGGACUUGUUUUGAGGUUCGAGGAAGCAGCUGUUUGACAAU